rnacentral:rRNA from 1 species
AUUGAACGCUGGCGGUAUGCUUAACACAUGCAAGUCGAACGGUAGCAGGCCUUCGGGCGCUGACGAGUGGCGGACGGGUGAGUAAUGCAUAGGAAUCUGCCUAUUAGUGGGGGAUAACGUGGGGAAACUCACGCUAAUACCGCAUACGCCCUACGGGGGAAAGCGGGGGACUUUCGGGCCUCGCGCUAAUAGAUGAGCCUAUGUUGGAUUAGCUAGUUGGUAGGGUAAAGGCCUACCAAGGCGACGAUCCAUAGCUGGUCUGAGAGGAUGAUCAGCCACACUGGGACUGGGACACGGCCCAGAAUCCUACGGAAGGCAGCAGUGGGGAAUAUUGGACAAUGGGCGAAAGCCUGAUCCAGCAAUACCGCGUGUGUAAAGAAGGCCUGAGGGUUGUAAAGCACUUUCAAUGGGAAGGAAUACCUACCGGCCAAUACCCGGUAGACUGACAUUACCCAUACAAGAAGCACCGGCUAACUCCGUGCCAGCAGCCGCCGUAACAC